rnacentral:rRNA from 1 species
AUUGAACGCUGGCGGCAUGCUUUACACAUGCAAGUCGAACGGCAGCGCGGGCUUCGGCCUGGCGGCGAGUGGCGAACGGGUGAGUAAUGCAUCGGAACGUGCCCCGCAGUGGGGGAUAGCCCGUCGAAAGCCCGAUUAAUACCGCAUACGACCUGAGGGUGAAAGCGGGGGACCGAAAGGCCUCGCGCUAUUUGAGCGGCCGAUGUCGGGUUAGAUAGUUGGUGGGGUAAAGGCUUACCAAGGCGACGAUCCGUAGCUGGUCUGAGAGGACGACCAGCCACACUGGGACUGAGACACGGCCCAGACUCCUACGGGAGGCAGCAGUGGGGAAUUUUGGACAAUGGGGGCAACCCUGAUCCAGCCAUGCCGCGUGCGGGAAGAAGGCCUUCGGGUUGUAAACCGCUUUUGUUCGGGAAGAAACGCUCUGGGCUAAUACCCCGGGGGGAUGACGGUACCGGAAGAAUAAGCACCGGCUAACUACGUG